rnacentral:rRNA from 1 species
UACGAAGGGUGCAAGCGUUACUCGGAAUUACUGGGCGUAAAGCGUGCGUAGGUGGUCUGUUAAGUCUGAUGUGAAAGCCCUGGGCUCAACCUGGGAAUUGCAUUGGAUACUGGCAGGCUAGAGUGCGGUAGAGGGUAGUGGAAUUCCCGGUGUAGCAGCGAAAUGCGUAGAGAUCGGGAGGAACACCAGUGGCGAAGGCGGUGCUCUGGGCCGGAACUGACGCUGAGGAGCGAAAGCGUGGGGAGCGAACAGG